AGCCUAUCUCCCACUGGGCUGUCGAACCUCUUUCCUCCUCAGCCAGGACAGGGGCCAAGCUCUUGUGGAUCAUUGUCAGAACUGCCAUGAGUGAGCAGUCUUGUUUUCCUGCCUCGCACACAC
ensembl:scaRNA